GACGAACGCUGGCGGCGUGCUUAACACAUGCAAGUCGAACGAAGUGGGAACGGGUGAGUAAUACGUGGGUAACCUCCCUCCUUUUUGGGAUAAGCCUUGGAAACGGGGUCUAAACCGAAUAGCUGGGCUCGCGGCCUGUCAGCUUGUUGGUGGGGUGAUGGCGUACCAAGGCGGGGACGGGUAGCCGGCCUGAGAGGGGGACCGGCAAAAGUGGGACUGGGAACAGGGCCAGACUCCCACGGGAGGGAGCAGGGGGGAAACUUCCGCAAUGGACGAAAGUCUGAAGGAGCAACGCCGGGGGAGUGAUGACGGCCUUCGGGUUGUAAAGCUCUGUUCAUCGGGACGCGGUACCGGAAUAGAAAGCCACGGCUAACUACGUGCCAGCAGCCGCGGUAAUAC
rnacentral:rRNA from 1 species